rnacentral:tRNA from 10 species
AUAGCCAUAAAAAGGAAUGAAUUCACAGCAUUUGCAGUGACCUGGAUAAGACUGGAGACUAAUGUUGUAAGUGAUGCAACUCAGGAAUGGAAAACCAAACAUCGUAUGUUCUCACUGAUAUGUGGGAGUUAAGCUAUGCAGAUGAAAAGGCAUAAGAAUGAGACAAUAGACUUUGGGGACUUGGGGGGAAGAGUGAGGGGGUGAGGGAUAAAAGACUACCAAUAUGGUGCAGUGUAUACCGCUCGAGUGAUGGGUGCACCAAAAUCUCACAAAUCACCACUAAAGAACUUACUCGUGUAACCAAAUAUCACCUGUACCCCAACAACUUAUGGAAAAAUAAAAAUAAAUACAACACUGAUUGCUCCUCAAAAAUUAAAACUAGAAUUGCCAUACGAUCCAACAAUUUCUGGGUUUAUACUCAAAAGAAUUGAAAAUAGAGUCUCAAAAAGAUAUUUAUGAACCCAUGUCCAUAGCACCAUUAUUCACAAUAGCCAAAAGGUAGAAGCAACCCAGUGCCCAUUGAUAGAUGAGUGGAUAAACAAAAUGUGGCCUAUCUAUACAAUGGAAUAUUAUUCAGCCUGAGAAAGGAAGGAAAUUCUGAUACACGCUAUUAAUACAACAUGGAUAAACUCUGAAGACAGGAUGCUGAGUGAGAUAAGCCCAUUACAAAAAGAUGUACUGUGUGGUUCCAAUCACAUGAGGUCCCCAAAUUCACAGAGACAGAAAGUAGAAUGGUGGCUGCCAGGGGCUGAUGGGAGAGGAAAUGGGAAUUAAUUGUUUAAUAGGCAUAGAGUUUCUGUUUAACAAGACGAAAAUAGUAAUGAAGAUGGAUGGUUGCAUAACAUUGUGAAUGUAUUUAAUACCACUGAAUUGUACAGCUAAAAAUGAUUGCAAUGGUAAACUGUAUGUUCCAAAUAUGUUACUACAAUUUUUGAAAAUGCUCUUUUCAGAUAUUCGUAUUUGUAAGAUACAUUACCAUUUCUGUUAUACAUAAUUACAUCUUAAUUAUCAAGCAUGACCAAACAUUUUGCCAAUGUUCCUCAAUUCACUGAGAGUAUCAUCUCUUGUACCCUUUGGGUAGUCUGUUUAGAACCAAGGUAACAGAUAUGUUGGCCGUGUUAGUCAGCUCCGGCUGCUGUAACAGAGUACCAUAGACUGGGUGGCUUAAACAACAGACAUUUAUUUCUCACAGUUGGGAAGCUGGAAGUCCAAGGUCAAGCUGUUAGCUGGCUCAGUUCCUGAUGAGGGCUCUCUUCCUGGUUUGCAGAUGGCCACCUUCUUGCUGUGUCCUCACUCAGUUGAGAGAGAGAGCUCUGGUGUCCCCUCCCUGCCUUCUUCUCCUCUUCCUUCUCCUCUUCCUGCUUCUUCUUUUCCUCUUCCUUGUUCUUUAUUUUCUAAGGACAUUUAUCCCAUCUUGGGAGCCCCAUCCUCAUGACCUCAUUUAAACUUAAUCACCUCCCAAAGGCCCUAUCUCUAAAUACAUCACAUUGCACGUUAGGGAGUCCACAUAAGAAUUUUGGGGGAACUCAAACAUUCAGUCCAUAAUAUUGGCUAAAUUUGCGAUGUAGGUUACAGGGGCAGUAAAAGUCUGCAAAUCUUGAAAAGAAAAUAUGUUGAAGCACCCCAAUAUCUAAAGCCAAGAUUGUUCUUUACUUCCAAAGUCAACCUCACCAUAGUUCCAGGGACCCACAUUACAUUAGUAAACAUGACUAGUGGUCUCAACAAAAAUCUACCUGGAUUAUUAAAAGAAAUCAAUCAGAUAAUCCUUGGUUAUUAUCCAAAUUUCCACAAAGAAUCCUUUAUUUCUUAGGUUGAAGUUUUGGGCCCCAAGAAAUUAGAGCUAUAGAAAUGAGGGGAGUGAUGCUUUAAAUGCUCAUUAGUAAUUGACAUUUCUUCAUAACCAGGCCCCAUCAACCAACAAGUGGGCAAAGAAAAUGUGGAACAUAUACACCAUGGAAUACUACUCAUUCAUAUAAAGCAAUGAAAUCAUGUCUCUUGUAGCAACUUGGUUGGAGCUGGAGGCGAUUAUUCUAAGUAAAGUAACUCAGGAAUGGAAAACCAAAUGUCAUAUCGUCUCAGUUACAAGUAGGAGCUAAGUUAUGAGGACAUGUAUUAGUCUGUUCUCAUGCUGCCAGUAAAGACAUACCUGAGACUGGGUAAUUCAUACAGGAAAGAGGCUUCAUUGACUCACACUUUCACAUGGCUGGGGAGGUCUCACAAUCAUGGUGGAAGGCAAAGGAGGAGCAAAGUCAUAUCUUACAUGGUGGCAGGCAAGAGAGAGCUUGUGCAGAGGAACUGCCCUUUAUAAAACCACAUCUCAUGAGACUUAUUCAUUAUCAGGAGAACAGCAUGGGAAAGACCUGCCCCCAUGAUUCAAUGACCUUCCACUGGGUCCCUCCCAUGACAUGUGGGAAUUAUGGGAGCUACAAUUCAAGAUGAGAUUUGGGUGGGGUCACAGCCAAACCAUAUCAGGACACCAAGGCACAAGAAUAACAUAAGGGACUCUGUGACUCAGUUGGGGAAGAGAUGGAUGGAGGUGAGGGAUAAAAGUGUACACUGCUCAGGUGAUAGGUGUACCAAAAUCUAAGAAGCCACUAUGAAAGAACUUAUCCAUGUAAUCAAAACCCACCUGUACCCCCCCAAAAACUAUUGAAAUAAAGCUUUUUUUUCUAAUGAGAAAAAAAAAAUCAGGCCCUCUCUCCUUGCUUCUUCUGGGAGGUGUUGACAGGGUUCAACAGGAGGAAAAAGUGAAGAGAACACUGGUGCCUGAGAGGCAAGGAGGGAGGAGAGCAGCCCUAUGGGCAGGGAGGGAGCUGGGAAAGAGAAGUGUGCUGGAAGGCCACACAUUCAUGGCUAAAUUCACACUUUAUGCCAGGGUUGGCCCAAAAGUAACUCACUGUAGAUGUACCUUCCAACAAUAAAAUGAUCUCUGAAUCAAGACCCUUGAAGUUUGUUUCACUAAGCAUUGAAGAGUUUCUUUCCAUCUUGAAGCUUAAAAUGAGUCCUGAAGAGUAAUCUAGAUGCAUUCAGAAUUUCAACUCCUUUUCCAUGACAUUCGGUUACUGUUUGGUGCCUUUAAACACACACACACGCAUACACAUGCUUGCACACGCCAGUGCAUACACAUGCACUGGCUCACACACAGAUCCACAGCCAAGUCUGUUGUUAGAGGGUUGCUUGCUGAGCUCUCUGGAUUUUCACAGCAUCACAGCACAUUAUUCACGAACAUAAUGAAACAAAGAUUAAGUGGGAAUUUUAAGCUUUGUAGGGUGAAUGUGUUUCCAUGAGGACAGGCAAAUCUGGUAACAGAAAGUGACCAGAGCAUGGGAAAAACUUGACUUAUGGAAUCCAAGCAAAUCCUCCUUUUAUCCUCACCCUAAGAUUCUGGAAGUCAAGGCCUCAUCAGAAAGCUAAAUUUUAGUAAAGUCACACUAUCAGCAGUAACAGUUUUCAAUUACAAGCAGCUAUUUCCAGAGUUCUAAUGUUCUGCAUUUGCCUUUUAGGGAGAUUCUCUGGACCUUUAGACCAGUAAAAAACUAAUCAACCUCCAUCAUUUCAUGUUGGGGCCAGGACAAUGGCUCUCAUGAUGCCCAGGCUUAGAGACUUUGAGAUGGUGUUUCCUUGAUUGCUUAUGGGAACCGUCCUGCAGAAGUAUAAUUUCAUUUAUUAGAAGCAGAGAGCUUAUAAAGUCCUGUGAAACAACAGGUGCCAGAAGGAAAGCCAGACACUCUAAUGAGCACUUGGAACUGGCUCUGCAGAAAGCAGAGAUGCAAUUGAUGCCGUAUGCAUUUAUCUUUAGACACACAUCAAUCAAAGCCUUCCAACCAGAUUAUCUCAGCAUGCUACUGCAAACAGUUUUCAUCUACAGUUAUUGACGGUUUUGUUCCUAACCAAGAAAAAAAAUGGAAUGGAGAAAAAUCAUGGAUAGUGCAAAGUCUUAGAACAGAGAUCACUAGCUGCUGCGUGUUCCCUGUCAGCAAAUGUCAUAGGGGUCAAUUCCCUAUGGAUGCUUUUAGCGAUGACACUUAGGUUAGACAGGGAGGAGUCAACCCAGCCUCCCAUUCUCUUCCCGGAUCCUGGUCCUUCUUUUCACUGCAUAGAAGCAGGAAGAGAACAGAAGCUGUCACAAAUCAGUCCCCACUGAGGAUUCAAAGCCUCGUGUCUGGACUCCCAUCGAAACGUCUGCUAUGCUUACAUUCAGACACCUGAAGGCCUCUGCCCUGAGGCACAAAAUGUCAAUAGAAGAUUCCAGGAGUCCUUGCCCAUUUUUUUGGUACCGUAUCUGCAAAUAGCCCAGACCCAUCCUUUUGGGUCAAUACAGUUAGCAGGCUGAACAGGAGGCUCUGAAUCAAAAGACAGCAGCCUAUUUGGAUGAAGUGGACAUAGGAGGAAAUAAUGUCAUCCAUCACUACCACUCCCUCCCCGCAAUCUCCAUCCCGAUCCUGGGGCUAGAUUCUCCUGCCAUCUGGACAUCCUUUCUGAGUGAUGUGUCUGGCAGCAUAGGUGGUCUUGGCGGCUCUUCUUGGCUGCUACUAUUCAAAAGGAGGAAACUGGUUUUAUUGGAUCUCAACAAAACCUGCCUGCCCCUCACCAAACCACAUCAUUCUCAUCUCUUAUUCUUAAGCCUCAAGCACUGAAACCGAUGAAUUGGGCCUUAUUCUGUCAACUGCAUUAACUUACGUAGUGAGAAGAAGUUUAGUAACAGCAGAAACUAAACUCUUAACAUAGCACUUGCAGAGUAUAAAAACUGACCCUAAUUUCUUACAGAUUAUUAUUAUUAUCACAUUUAAAUAUAUUGAGUGCUUAGGAAGUACUCUUUAAAAGCAUCGUCUCAUUGAAUCCUUACAAACAUGGCAAUAAGUAUUGUUAUUUAUAUAUGUUUAACAGAUAAAGGAACAGGUUUAGGAAAAUUGAGUAACUAACCAAGGUAAAACAGCUAGCAAGUGGUUUGAACAGAAUUCAAACCCAGGAUGUCCAGCCCCAGUGAAUUUGUUCUCAGUUAUUAUGGUAUAAAGUAUUUACACACAAUACACAUUUACUUCAUAUACCCAAACGUGUUCAUUACAAAACUAUAGAACAUAUUCUCUGCCCUGGAAAUACUACAGUUUGCAUUUGGAAUUUUGAUUAUUUACAAUAAACCCCAAAGUUCAUGAUACAUAUUUGCUUGUCAUUUUGCUGAGGCAUGAUCUAAAUCUUGCUCACAAGAUUUCAAUCUUUCGCCGCCACAACAUAAGCCCUUGAACCUCAGCCACAUCUACAGUUGAAGACGUGAAGAACCUGACUGCACCCGGGGUGGAAAGCCUCAAGACAGGAACGCUAACAACGUACUUCUGCUCACCACUUCCUACAGGCCUGCAGACAGCACAGUGAGGAUGCAGGCUUUUCUCGGUUGUAUAGGCUCCACAGUUUGUUCAGAACAAAUUCCUGUCUCUCCCUGAGGACUCAACCUCAGCAGCAAGUCAGAUCUUGACAGCAGCUACCAUCUUUCUGUUCUGCAGAAAUGUCAACAACAUCCAUUCUGCCCAUCCACUAAAGAACCUCUUGGGCUGUUUUCAAGAUUCCAAGGAGCCACCCAGCUGAAGGAAGGAAGCCCUGGCAGGCCACAUCUACUUGGGCAAAAAGGGGAAAAGCAACGUGCUUUUGAGUGGAAACACGGUCUUUGUCAAUUUCUCCUUCAUUAGCCUGGCUAACUUUCCAAUGGACAGUGGGAGUUUUUGUUUUUACUAGUGACUGAGGUAGAAUUCUUGAGAGAGUGAGAGAGAGAGACAUACAGACAGAGACCAGGAGAAAACCAGCCUUAGAAAUAACUGAAUUCUAGCAGAAAGUGGCAGUCAGUGACACCUAUGGCAGUGCAGUCGUGUAUGGGAUUCCCUUUCUCUCUCUCUACCCUUUUCCACUAUAGAGGAACCCAUUGAUCUAACUCCUUCAUGGCAACUUAUUCACUGAUAAAACCUGCAGGAGAAGAAAAAAUUACUCUUGUGUAAGAGGUAGCCUUUUUCAUAGAAUAUACCACAAAAAUUAGUUAAAAGAUUUGGAUUUCAGCACUAGAUCUCUUUAUUACAGGUCAGUUGUGUGAUCUUGCACAGGGGCCUUUUUACCUCACUUAGCCUCAGUUUCCCCACCUGUAUAAUGAGAAAGAGAAUUCCCUGAGGCUUCUUCCAGCUCUUCUCUUCUAAACUAUUUUUCAGAAACACAGUCAUAUAGCUGAUUGCAGCUUAUGUUUUCCAAAGUAAUUCCUUAUUUUGGCCCCUGGAUUCACCUACCCAUGGUCUGUUUGCCAGUGAAUCAUCCUCUGAUUAAUGGACAAGUUCUGUGCCUCUCUAAGCUUCAGUUUCCCCUUCGGUCACUAUGUUAAACCCCGAGAGACAGCAAAGAAGGCACAGCCAUGUCCUCAAGGAGCAUGCUAUCCAGGAAGGGAGCAGGUCUGCCUAGACAAUCUCUAAGGCUUGUUUCAGCUCUGCUGUCCUAGGAUUCUAUGAUUGCAAGCAUUUCGGGGGCCACUGUCUUCCACAACUAAGGUUGGUAAUAAAUAAAAUAAUUUGUAUUUCAGAAGCUGUCUUCAAAGAUGCCAAACAGCACAGUGACAACAUCUGCCUUCUUGUCCAGUGGAAGACUCUGAAACACCGAGCUGUGAACAGAGUCUUUUAAACCUCCUUUAGAAGACAGGUAGCAGAGAAGCAAGCUCAGGUGUCAGCUGCAAAUGGCCUUUUUCUUCAAAGAGUUGUUUAGACUUGAGUUCUUUUCUGAAAUUGGAGUGCAAAAGUUCAGAGUUCUACUAUGAUUCUCCAAUCGUUCAUUAGUAUUCCUGGCCUGUCCUAUAAUUACGAGAGUCUUUGACUUUUCACCUGUAAUAACGCAUUGUCCUGGGGACAUGGAUGCCCUCACACUCUUACUUCCUUCGAUCAACACAUGUAUAUGUGACACAGACCAGCAGAAAAAGGACUGGGCCAAUGUAACGAUCUCAAACAGGUUCAAACCUGCCCCCAGGGCUGUGUCAGCGCCAUGCUCUAGCUUAAAGAGCAAAAUUAAGUCAUAAGCUAAGACAAAGGGCAUAAAGUAGACAGGGUCUCUCUGACUUCUCAGACUUUGCAAUUCAGGAUAGACAAUCAAAUGAGGCUUUUUCUCACAACUCCCUCAAACACACACACACACACACAAACCUGUGAGUUCCAAAGUGCAAAGGAAUCCGUCUGGAAUAGCCUAAGGAAGAAUGUUCAUUCCACUCCUCUCCCUGGCAUAACUACUGCCCAACGGGGGAAGCAGCCCUGCCCAAUGAUCAGGCCUCAGGCUCUGUGGCCAGGCAGGAUGCAGGCAUCCCAACUCUAGCACCCACUCGUAGGGUAACUGGGUUGGGAUUUCUGAACCUUGACUUCCUCAUCUAGACAAUGGACACAAGAGUGUACUAGCUCAGAGGGCUGGUGGUGAGAUUAAGUAAGACAAGAUGAUAACAUGCAGCACCCCAGAGCGAUGGCUCAGGGUGUGAUAUGGUUUGAAUCUGUGCCCCCACCCAAAUCUCAUGUUCAAGUGUAAUCCCCAGUGUUGGAGGUGGGGCCUGGUGGGAGGUGGUUGGAUCAUGAGGGCUGUUUCUCAUGGAUGAUUUAGCACCAUCCUCUUGAUGCUCUCAUCACAAUAGUGAGAGUUCUCAUGAUGAGAUCUGGUUGUUUAAGAGUGCAGCACCUCCGCCCUGACUCUCUGGCUCCUGCUCCUGCCAUGUGAGACUCUCCUCCCACCAUGGCUGCAAGCUUCCUGAGGCCUCCCCAGAACCUGAGCAGAUGCCAGCAUCAUGCUUCCUGUUACAGCCUGUGGAACAAUGAGCCAAUUAAACCUCUCUUCUUUA